UGGAACCAGAACAAGUACCAAGUCCUGAAAUUCGUGUUGCUGAUAUCAGGCCUUUGAACCACACUAGGUAUAACAUUCGACAAAUGGAAUUGAGGACGUCAGAAAUCAGGACUGAUACAGAUUGUCCUGAUGGAACUACUGAUGUUACUUCUUCAAAUAAUGAUGAUUCUUCAACAGUUCUCCCAGACUUCUCAAUGAUUCCUCAACUCAGAC